rnacentral:tRNA from 1 species
AGAUCUGUAGCUCAGCUGGUAGAGCAACGGCGUCACAUGCCGUGUGUCAUGGGUUCGAGUCCCACCAGGUCUA